UUGUGUGCUCCGCACAUCCAACGCACAAUAAAAUGACGAAGAAGAAUUCUCACUGGAAGCUUGUGCAGACGGGUGUGUGGCCACACAUCACAUUGUGCGCUCUGCAUACCGCUCUACAAAAGUCCCGACUGGAAUCUCUAUUUAAAUCGAUUUCUUCCAAAAAUUUCAUUCUUUUGAUAUCCUUUGAAGCUUAGGACUGAUUUUGUCUCCUCUCCUUAUCCUUCAACACUAAGGUAAAUUUUUCUCACGUAAUUUUAAAUAAUUUCAGUCAAUUAUAUCAUUUGAAUACGGAUUCUUAAUGAAUUUUGCCCUUAUCUUAGGAUUUUCAAGAAAGUUCAAUCACAAUUUCAAGAACUAAAUUCUCAGAGGUUCUCCCUCAGAGUUAGGUUUCUUCCUCAAUUAUUUCAUAGCAGUCUUGAGUAUGUACGAAUUCAAUGAGGAUCCCAAAACUUUAUGAUUUUCUUGAAUUAAAGAUCAUAAUUAGGGUUUAUAAAUGCACUUUCAAAUUUUCUUCCCCAU
rnacentral:lncRNA from 1 species